UUCUAAGCUUGCAUUUGCUCUACAAUAUUUGCACAUGAGUAAGUCACUUACCCUCUCUAAGUAUCAGUUUUCUCAUCUGUAAAAUGAGGGUAAUAAUUCCAUUUAUUAUGUGUCAUGGAAUUAUUUUGAGAAUCAAGUGAAUCAUGUAAAAAAGUUUUGUAAAUCAAGAAAGCAUUAUACAAAUGUGAGAUUGCUAUCAGCUGCUCAUAAGCAUCCUAUUAUAUUUACAGUGGAUGAGACUUUUUUUUCUCAUGUUCUUUCUCUUUAUUUCUGCACAGAGGGAGCAAGGAAGGCUCAUGUUUUCAUGGACCUGGGGGAAUUCUUGGUUUGAUGUAUUCUCUCUGCCCUCUUGCCCUGGAACACUGCUCCUCCAAAGUGGGAAUGAUAGGGAAGGAAAUGUCAGGAGACUUAAUUCAAUCAAAAGUCAUGUUUAAAUGUGGGCUUUGUGCAUCUUUGAAGUAGAUAUUUAAUUGUAUUCUUAAGUACUUGCACAUUUUCCAGGUUCAUGUAAGUAUUUUUAAUAGUGCUUGUGGAGAGAAGAAUAUAAAUUAUACCAUCACUAUGAAAUUUUUGAGUAUUUAUAUUGUCAUCAUUUUCUUAAUAUCCUUACAUUAAUUUCACGUGGGUGAGUUCAAACUCUAAUUGGCCAGAUAAGAAAAUACCUGUUCCCCAAAAUGCGAAGUGGUCUAUUUUUACUGUUACAAUUUUAAAUCUUAUAUUACAAUUUUCGUCAGCCCAAAAUGACAAACUCAAAUACUGAAUAUCUAACAAGAGUUUAAAGUACCGUCACCUGUGCCUACUUGUAGAGUUAGCUAAAAUCUAAAAUGCGACUUAGCUUUCAGUGGACACCCUUUGCAGUACUAUUGUUCAAGUAGGACUAAUAUUUGAGUAAAGAGUAUGAUGUGUUCCAAGAUUUAGAAUAGAAUUAAGUAAUCAGAAGAAACAAAUGGGAAGGCAAGGCCCCAACAAGUUGACACUUACCAAGGGCACACAUGAGCAGAAGCAAGCCUAGCACUCUGGUUUUCCUUGUACCUGGGGAAGGAUUCUUUCCAUUACCAUGCUGUGUCGGGAGUGUGUGUGUGUGUGUGUGUGUGUAGAAGAAAAUGGGAAAUGGGAACUAAAUGAAUCCAAAAUACUAAUAUUGGACUAAAUCAUUUUGAUGUUAUAGAGGAGCUAUUUGUGGUAAAACAAUAUGAAAAUGAACAAUGCCUACAAAGAUCUGAGUUCUUAUACAAGAUUGCCAAACAUCUGUGUAACCAUAGCUAGAUAUCUUGAUCUAUCUAUAUAAAAUAGCUGACCUAUUUUCUUACAUGUCGUUAUAGAGAAUAUGGAUGAUAAUGCCAAAAUAGUAAAAAUAUUUGCUCCAGGCAAAAUAUUUUGACCAAGUUUCUUAGAAAUCGGUCUUGAUUUUACAUUAAAAUUAUUUAAUUUAAAAUGUAUUUAAUCUAAAUUUAAACCUUAUUUAAAUUUAAAAAUUUAAAACUAAUGGAUGAUGUAGCUAAUUACUAAAUAUUUUAAAUGCGAUAAAAAAGAAAUGGAAAACUAUCCAAUUGUGUAAUAAACUUGUCCCUGACCAAAAUUGCUCAUCUUGAGUUGCAUUAACACUCUCCGUGCAUGUAGUGGUGUAAUGGUUCAUUAAAUGGUAAGCUUAAGCUGAAAUGAUUAUGUAAUCACAGUGCAUUUAAAUGUGGCCUUUAUGUGCAUAAUGGUAGCAAAUAAGAUUUCUUGAGUCUGGAAACUUGAAAGUUUACCCUAGGUUUCCAAAGCUUCAAAGCACUUCAUGAUUUUUUUGUGUGGCAACCAAAGCAGUCUUUUCUGUUGUUAAGAUAACUUUACCAGUC
rnacentral:lncRNA from 1 species